rnacentral:tRNA from 1 species
CAGGGGAUUGAAAAUCCCCGUGUCGGCGGUUCGAUCCCGUCCCGAGCCACCA